UCACACAGUACUUGUCACCCAGCCAAAAAAAGAGGAAAAAAGAAGAAAAAAAUAUUUAAUAAUUUUAAAUAAUUAUUACCGUUUUUUCUCUUUUUUCUUCUAAAUAUUCAAUCACAACAAAUAAAAUGGCAAAAAAAAUGAAUGUUGCAGUUUUGUUGAUGUGUUUUAUGGUUCUUGCUGUGGUGGUGCAGUUCACCCAAGCUCAUGGUGAUGAUGGUCAUGAUCAUUACAAAGUAUGCUUCAUGAAAUGCUUUGAUUUUUCGAAAACAAAGGGACUAGGAAAUUCUCUCCUUGAAAUCCAAUGCGACCAAAUGUGCAAUGAAUUUGAGAAAUUCAAGAAGCUCGACAAUAUCUUUAAACAUUGAAGACUUAAAGAGUUGAUCACAUAUUAAUUUCGACAUUUGAUCCAUCUAUGGAAAAUAAAAUGAGCAACCUCUAAAAUUUACAAAGGUGUGAUGAGUGAUGGAAAAUACUUAUUUGAUCUGAUCAUCUCAUGAUAGCCUUCUUGUUGUGAUGUUGUAAACGAUUAUGUGGAUAUAUAUGAUGUAACCGUUUUCGAUUAUCAAAAAGAAAUUUGUCUAAUAAUAUAUAUUGUUUGUCCAUGCUGCAA